CGAAACUUGUUAAGUAAGUUGGCAUACAACAAAACUCGUUGAAGAAAAGUCGAUAAACGAAAUGAAUUCGGUAGAAAUCUCUGGUUUUAUCCCCAAACUUGGUCUAGUCGUAGUAGGAAUUGUGUUGGUAGAAUGCACUCGGCAAGGCUUGAAUUACCUGCAGCGAAAAAAUUCAAAGCCAGUGAUUAGACAAGUGAUUUUCUUUCCUGAUAAACAAAUUGCCUGUAAAGACUUUUUCGAUUCAGUCGAAGGCUGUUCGAGGAUUCGCUGCGAUUUCAGCCACACAACAACUGGCUUCAGGCAACUACUUUCCCACAUAAAGUCAGCAAGGAAAUCUAUCGACAUUGCUGUUUAUUGCAUCUCUUGUUUUGAGAUUGCAGAUGUUGUGUUGCAACGUCACAAAGUUGGAGUCAGAGUCAGAGUGAUUACAGACCAGAGCAUGGAGAUAGCUUUCGGAUCCCAGAAUCACCGUUUUAUGAAAGAUGGGAUCCGGGUAUAUACCAACAAACCCCCAUUUCUAAUGCACCACAAGUUUUUUAUUAUUGACGAUGAGCUGCUUUGCUCUGGGUCCUUCAACUGGACUUCACAAGCUGUCACUGGUAACAACGAAUCUGUCAUAAUCACUAAUGAUCCCUGGACCGUUGAACCUUUUUGUGCUGAAUUUCAAAAAUUGUGGCAAGAAACUAAGCCUGGAAAUUAACUCUUGUAUUUAUAGCUAAUACCAUAGAUUUUCUGUUUAUUCUAAUCUUCACCUUUAUUAGGGGGACUUCUUCUUUAUCUCUUAAAGGGACCUUGAAUUUUUGUUUGCCAAAAUUUUACUUAUAGCACAUGCGAUUCCGAUACCUGCUCAGAGACAGUAGAACUCCAAUAAAUUCUUUAAUUAUUUUCAUGAUCAACAAUAGAACUACAUUGAAUUUUAAAUGUCCGACAAUAGAACUCCAACGAUUUUAAAACUAUUUUCAUGUCCGAUAGUAGAAUAGAAGAACUUCAUUGAAUUUUGAAUAUCUCCAAGUGUCCGACAAUCCAUCCAUCCUUGAUUCCUUUCCGUACAGUCAAACGUGGAGGAAUCUUUUGGCUCCGUCAGUAGGUGGCUAAAAUCAAGUUGUCCCCCCCAGCCGCCAGAUGACGCGAGUGUCUUUGAGGGGACGAAAUUUUCGCCAUUUUGUUCCGAAACGCCAAGUGAAAAGGCAAUCUGGCAUAUAAUUUUCAUUUGGCCAAAUAAUCGAUCACGUGGACUGAAACUGCUUUCCAAUUUGCCGAAAUGUCGUCGGUUAUUAGCUUUACCUGUUCGGAUGCACGUCUCAUCUCACGCCGAAACACUACAGAGUUGGUGUUCAGGUUGGAGAUCCCGUUGCUUAACUGUUGCAGAAUGUGAGAACUCAACAAAGUCUGAGCUACAUGGUCGGCAUCAUUACAGUGAUUUCGUUGGAGCCAGCUGGUAAAAGGUGUAAUCGAGUCAAGUUGAGCUGCUGCUGCUGCAUGCAGUUUAUCGAGCUGGUGUUAUCCUGAAGUGUCAUUGCAGGAAGACUUUUUGAAAUGGACUUGAUGAUACUUAAACUAUGCCUGUGCAGUGGUUUUGCAGCCUGUUUCCAGUUGAGAGAUGUGAUUAUGCAGCUGAUACAGGAUUGAAGAAAAAGAACUGAAGUAGCUGUGCUGGUGUUCUCCUGAAAUUGCUGUGCCACAGGAGUUGCAGAUAGUGUUUGGUUCCUCAUAGAAGUUUGUUUAAAGAGUUUGGAGAUGAUCAUCCACUUCUGACUAUAACUUAUGUGAAACUUCAAAGUUGUAAGAAAUAUACAAGUCAAGUGCUAAA
rnacentral:lncRNA from 1 species